UUUCAAUGUUAAAAAUCCAAGUUUAGAUUUAGAUUUAAGUCUUCUUGGAAGAGUGGAAUCAAGACAGAGGGUUUGCAGGACUAAAGGACCUCGUGUCUUUCUUCAGAACGCUAAAGCAGAGACAUUGAUGGAUGGAAGUAGGAGGAUGCGUGUGAGCUUCCCAUUACGCCGAGCUUGGCUGCUGUGAAGACGAGGUGUGUUUGCAGCUUUGCAGUAAGAGGGACUUCUGUGUCUCUUGGAGCAGCGGCACUGUCUGGAAGGUGAAAGACCAGGAGGGACGAGGUGCUGUGGAGGAAAGUUUGCAAAAUUAGCUAAGGUUUUUUUAUGUGACAAUAUUCAAAUACAUGUAUC
rnacentral:lncRNA from 1 species